rnacentral:rRNA from 1 species
GAUGAACGCUAGCGGCAGGCCUAACACAUGCAAGUCGAGGGAGAAGCCCUUUCGGGGGCAGAAACCGGCGCACGGGUGCGUAACGCGUAUGCAACCUACCUUUCACAGGGGGAUAGCCCGAAGAAAUUUGGAUUAAUACCCCAUAAUAUUAUUGGAUGGCAUCAUUUGAUAAUUAAAACUGCGGUGGUGAAAGAUGGGCAUGCGUCCUAUUAGCUAGUUGGAGUGGUAACGGCACCCCAAGGCUACGAUAGGUUGGGGUCCUGAGAGGGAGAUCCCCCACACUGGUACUGAGACAGGGACCAGACUACUACGGGAGGCAGCAGUGAGGAAUAUUGGUCAAUGGUCGGAAGACUGAACCAGCCAUGCCGCGUGCAGGAAGAAUGCCUUAUGGGUUGUAAACUGCUUUUAUAUGGGAAGAAUAAGGCGUACGUGUACGUUGAUGACGGUACCAUAUGAAUAAGCAUCGGCUAACUCCGUG